AGCGAACGCUGGCGGUAGGCUUAACACAUGCAAGUCGAGCGCCCCGCAAGGGGAGCGGCAGACGGGUGAGUAACACGUGGGAACGUACCCUUCAGUUCGGAACAACCCAGGGAAACUUGGGCUAAUACCGGAUACGUCCGUAAGGAGAAAGAUUUAUCGCUGAAGGAUCGGCCCGCGUCUGAUUAGCUAGUUGGUGGGGUAAUGGCCCACCAAGGCUACGAUCAGUAGCUGGUCUGAGAGGAUGAUCAGCCACAUUGGAACUGAGACACGGCCCAAACUCCUACGGGAGGCAGCAGUGGGGAAUAUUGGACAAUGGGGGCAACCCUGAUCCAGCCAUGCCGCGUGAGUGAUGAAGGCCCUAGGGUUGUAAAGCUCUUUUAGCGGGGAAGAUAAUGACGGUACCCGCAGAAAAAGCCCCGGCUAACUUCAUGCCAGCCGCCGCUGUAAUAC
rnacentral:rRNA from 1 species